rnacentral:rRNA from 1 species
UACGUAGGGUGCGAGCGUUAAUCGGAAUUACUGGGCGUAAAGCGUGCGCAGGCGGUGAUGUAAGACAGUUGUGAAAUCCCCGGGCUCAACCUGGGAACUGCAUCUGUGACUGCAUCGCUGGAGUGCGGCAGAGGGGGAUGGAAUUCCGCGUGUAGCAGUGAAAUGCGUAGAUAUGCGGAGGAACACCGAUGGCGAAGGCAAUCCCCUGGGCCUGCACUGAUGCUCAUGCACGAAAGCGUGGGGAGCAAACAGG